rnacentral:rRNA from 1 species
GCUUGUCUCAAAGAUUAAGCCACGAAUGCCGGGUUUUACAUGAAUACCUGCUGUACGUCUACAGCUAAUUCAUGCGUACUGACCCAACUCAGUGGAAGGGCCAUGCUGUUUAGUUCCAUAACCACCCCUGGUACUGCCAGGUGGUCUGGUGAUGCAUAACAAGUGGGUGGACCAUUUGGCCUUUGCCUGCGAUGUAUCUUCUAUGUUGCUGACCAAUCAGCUUCCGACGGUGCGGGAUUGGCCCCCCCGUGGCAAUGACGGGCAACGGAGAAGUAGGGUUUUCAUUCCGGAAAGGGAGCCUGAGGCGUGGCGACCACAUCUAAGGAAGGCAGCAGG